GCUGGCGAAGCCGGAGGUGUACGCACGUCGCGCGUAGCAGCAGUGGCAGCCGUGUGUGUGUGUGUCUGUGUGUGUGUCCGCGGUCGGGUGUGUGCGUGCCGCGAGGGGCACGCCGCGACGGUCUUCCGCCGAGUUAGUGCGUGUGUCGUUUGAGUGCUUCGGACAGACCCCUGCCUGCGUCUUUCCGCCGCCACUUUCGACGUCAACAGGUGGCGCGUCCCCGAUGUGAGGCGUGGUGCGGCGCGGACCCAGGCUCUGUGCUCGCGGCUUGCGCGGCUAGCACGGCUCACGCCGCCCCGGCGGCCCCCCUCCCCCCGUCGGCACUCCCCGGCUGCAAGAUAAAAUUGCGGCGCCUGUCGCUCUUCUCCUCCUCCGGGAGCGGGAACAGCGGCAACACCGGCCAGCUCAAUGGCGUCUCGGACGCCCAGGUGGCCGCCCCGGCGCCCGCCAUGUUCUCCAAGCUCAAGGGGGCGGGCGGCGGCGGCGGCUCCGGCCACAGCCCCCUGGACACCAACCCCAUCACGCAGUACUUCGAGGUGGGCAAGCAGACGGCCUGCGCCGGACCCGGCCUCAUCUGGAAGAUCUACGACGCCGUGCGCAAGUCCGACAGGAAGGUGGGUCAGUCCGCCGUCCAUUUCAAAAUACUUCGACCGCGAUGCGUCAGUGAAAGAGGAGGCUUCCAUCUUCCUGUUCGAGAAGCGCCUGGCCGAGAAGCUGCACAAGCCCAAGCGCAAGGACACUGUGUGCGAGGUGCUGCGCGGCAGCGUGAGGCAGCUGGAGCGGUUCCGGCACCCCAAGAUACUGCAGGUCCUGCACUCGGUGGAGGAGUGCAAUGAGACGCUGGCCUUCGCGUCCGAGCCCAUCCUGGCUAGUCUGGCCAACAUCCUGGCGUACCACGAGGCCUCGGGGAGCGGGGCGAGUGGCGCACCCUCCACGGGGGCGUCGCAUCCCAACACAGUGCAGCGGCCGCCGCCACACGCCAAGGACUACUCCUUCCUGGACCUGGAGAUCAAAUACGGACUGCUGCAGCUGACGGAGGCGCUGUCGUACCUGCACUACACGCACCACAUGCUGCACCGACACGUCUGUCCCGCCUCCAUCUUCGUCAACAAGCGAGGCGUCUGGAAGCUGGGUGGCCUUGAAUUCACAGAACGACUCAAUGAGGCGGACCCACAAGAACCCAUGCCCAUCAGCCCUUGGACCUCUCGAGUCUCCAAACUGUGCCAGCCUGACCUCGACUACAUUGCACCGGAAGUCCAGCUCCACUCUCAAAUAUGCAUGCAGAGCGACAUGUUCUCGCUGGGCAUGGUCAUAACAUCAAUCUUCAACCAUGGUCGGCCGAUAAUCCAAGCCAACAACUCGAACACGAGUUACCAGAGACAACUUGAUAUGCUGGAUGAGCACGUCAAGAUGAUCGUAACGGACAUCCCCCUGCCGUUGCGGGAGGCCACCAUCAGACUGCUGAGCAAGGAGCCCAAGGACAGGCCCACCGCGCAGUUACUCUGCCUCCUAAAGUACUUCACGACCGACAGUGUGGUCUCAACGCUGCAGUUCCUCGACGUGAUCCAGAUGAAGGACCCUCCACAGAAGAAUGCAUUCUACAAGCAGACCUUGCGGGACUCCUUGCCCUACAUUCCUAGGAAAUUAUGGUUUCAACAUGUCUGGCCUUCCCUGGAGGCAGAAAUGAGACAGUCAGAGGUCCUAGCAUCAGUUCUGAAACCAAUACUGUUAAUGAUUGAGCACUCUACAAUAGAAGAAUAUGAAAAUGUGAUACAAGAUUCUUUUAGGACCGUCUUAACGUCACCCAAAACCAUUCAAGCUACGGUCUGCCUACUCGAAAAUCUACACAUCAUUCUAGAAAAGACACAAAAGGAAGAUGCAAGGAUGGAAGUACUGCGGGUCCUGUACAACGCAUUCGAAAGCACCACCAUACAAGUCCAGUCGGCCGCCCUGUUUUCAGUCACCAACGUGGCAGACUACAUCGACGAGCAGGCCAUCAGACACAUGAUCCUUCCGCGGACGCUGUCCGUGUUCGCGCAAAACAGCGCGGACCUCAAGUUCACCAUCGCCGUGCUGAGCUGCGUGGAACGCAUCCUGGACCGCCUGGACCGCCCCAUCAUCCUGGACCAAGUGCUGCCUCUCUUGACAGAGGUCAGAUUGACCGAUCCAGACAUCAUGUACAGGGUGGUCUGUAUAUACGCCGUGCUGCUGAGAGACAAGAAAUAUGGACUGACUGUGAAUCAAAUGGCGACGCGGGUGAUGCCAGCGCUCCUGCCGCAGACGGUGAACCCAUCGCUCAACCUGGAGCAGUUCACCAUGCUGCUCCAGGUGCUGCGGGAAAUGCUUGAUCAAAUAGAUAGGAACCAGCGCAACAAGCUGAAGCUGGACAACAUGUCGCUGCCCAGCCCGGAGAGACGGCCGCUCCGCCACCUCUUCUCGUCCGACAACAUGCACGUGCCGCCCUUCAACAUCCCCAACCUGCGGGUGGAGCAGAGGAAGACGUCGAGCGCGGAGGACAUGGCGCGGAAGAACUCGGCGGACUCCGGCAUCCUGGGCGGCUGGUGGUUCGGCGGCGGCUCCUCGUCGCCCGACAGCAACUUCCUGCGCGUGCAGAACGCGCUGCCGAUCCGCCGCCUGUCCGACAACACCCUGAUGACGCCCAAGAUACGCGUGGCGCACUCGUGCUCGUCGUCGCCCGGCGGCUCGCCCGGUGGACUCCCCAUCCGACGCCACUCGUCCAUCGGGCCGCAGGAGCGGCGCGGAUCUACCACCAACCUGUCCCCACCAACGAUUGUUUUGAAUUACGAUUGGUGUUGAGUCGUUUACUGUACCAACCAGCUCCCCACAACCCACACCGAGGCCUGCCCAGGGCUUGGCCCACGGCUUGGCCCAGUGCUCCUCGCUGUCUGUCUGGAUGAAAAGGCACCAGGGUGCUCGUAAACCCAAUUCAGCCUUCUGCGGUCUGAUAAGGCGGCAGCAUGCCCAACACCAGCUCCAGCACGCCCUUCCUCAGUUCAUCCAUGAGCAGCCUGAGGUCCCGCCGGCCGUCGGCCUGCCUAGGCGGCUCUCAGGGCUCAGGCUUGCUCCAGUCGCUAGGCACCGGC
rnacentral:misc_RNA from 1 species